rnacentral:rRNA from 1 species
AGGGAGUUUGAUCCUGGCUCAGGACGAACGCUGGCGGCGUGCCUAACACAUGCAAGUCGAACGGAACUACUAGGAAGGAUCUCUUCGGAGAAACGGAAUUUUAGUUUAGUGGCGGACGGGUGAGUAACGCGUGAGUAACCUGCCUUUGAGAGGGGAAUAACGUUCUGAAAAGAACGCUAAUACCGCAUAACAUAUAUUGAUCGCAUGGUCGGUAUAUCAAAGAUUUAUCGCUCAAAGAUGGACUCGCGUCCGAUUAGCUUGUUGGCGGGGUAACGGCCCACCAAGGCGACGAUCGGUAGCCGGACUGAGAGGUUGAACGGCCACAUUGGGACUGAGACACGGCCCGGACUCCUACGGGAGGCAGCAGUGGGGGAUAUUGCGCAAUGGGGGCAACCCUGACGCAGCAACGCCGCGUGAAGGAUGAAGGUUUUCGGAUUGUAAACUUCUUUUGUCAGGGACGAAAUCUGACGGUACCUGACGAAUAAGCUCCGGCUAACUACGUGCCAGCAGCCGCGGUAAUACGUAGGGAGCAAGCGUUGUCCGGAUUUACUGGGUGUAAAGGGUGCGUAGGCGGCUAAGCAAGUCAGAUGUGAAAUCUAUGGGCUCAACCCAUAAACUGCAUUUGAAACUGCAUAGCUUGAGUGAAGUAGAGGCAGGCGGAAUUCCCCGUGUAGCGGUGAAAUGCGUAGAGAUGGGGAGGAACACCAGUGGCGAAGGCGGCCUGCUGGGCUUUAACUGACGCUGAGGCACGAAAGCGUGGGUAGCAAACAGGAUUAGAUACCCUGGUAGUCCCCU